AAGACUUCCAGUUUGGUGUGGCGCCAUUUCCAUUCCAAUUUUCUGGAAGCUUGCUUCAGAGCUCGUGUAUUUUCUGUAUACCAGGGAGCUAGUUUCUUAUGACAAAUGUUUUUAGUUUUUAGGGGUGCAACUGCAUCUAGGGUAUUGCGCAAGGUUAAAUUGAGUUCCCCGGUUAGGUGGUUAACUGAUUUUUGUCCUCUGACGUCCUUGGGUAGGCAGAGGGAGUCUGGAAGGGCAUCAAGGAAUCUUUGGGUUGUCUGAGAAUUUAUAGCACGACUUUUAAUGCUUCUUGGUUGGGGUCUGAGCAGAUUAUUUGUUGCGAUUGCGAACGUAAUAAAAUGGUGGUCCGAUUGUCCAGGAUUAUGAGGAAAAACAUUAAGAUCCACAACAUUUAUUCCAUGGGACAAAACUAGGUCCAGAGUAUGACUGUGGCAGUGAGUAGGUCAAGGGACAUGUUGGAAAAAACCCACUGAGUCGAUGAUGGCUCCAAAAGCCUUUUGGAGUGGGUCUGUGGACUUUUCCAUGUGAAUAUUAAAGUCACCAAAAAUUAGAAUAUUAUCUGCGAUGACUACAAGGUCCGAUAGGAACUCAGUGAGGAACGCUGCAUAUGGCCCAGGAGGCCUGUAAACAGUAGCUAUAAAAAGUGAUUGAGUAGGCUGCAUAGAUUUCAUGAAUAGAAGCUCAAAAGACGAAAACGUCGUUGUUGUUUUUUGGGGGGUAAAUUUAAAUUUGCUAUCAUAAAUGUUAGCAAUACCUCCGCCUUUGCGGGAUGCGCGGGGGAUAUGGUCACUAGUGUAACCAGGGGGUGAGGCCUCAUUUAACACAGUAAAUUCAUCAGGCUUAACCCAUGUUUCAGUCAGGCCAAUCACAUCAAGAUUAUGAUCAGUGAUUAGUUAAUUGACUAUAACUGCCUUUGAAGUGAGGGAUCUAACAUUAAGUAGUCCUAUUUUGAGAUGUGAGGUAUCACAAUCUCUUUCAAUAAUGGCAGGAAUGGAGGAGGUCUUUAUACUAGUGAGAUUGGUAAAGCGAACACCGCCAUCUUUAAUUUUGCCCAACCUAGAUCGAGGCACAGACACGGUCUCAAUGGGGAUAGCUGAGCUGACUACACUGACUGUGCUAGUGGCAGACUCCACUAAGCUGGCAGGCUGGCUAACAGUCUGCUGCCUGGCCUGCACCCUAUUUCAUUGUGGAGCUAGAGGAGUUAGAGCCCUGUCUAUGUUCGUAGAUAAGAUGAGAGCACCCCUCCAGCUAGGAUGGAGUUCGUCACUCCUCAACAGGCCAGGCUUGGUCCUGUUUGUGGGUGAGUCCCAGAAAGAGGGCCAAUUAUCUACAAAUUCUAUCUUUUGGGAGGGGCAGAAAACAGUUUUCAACCAGCGAUUGAGUUGUGAGACUCUGCUGUAGAGCUCAUCACUCCCCCUAACUGGGAGGGGGCCAGAGACAAUUAAUCGAUGCCGACAGCUACGAAGAAUACAGAUGAAAACUCUCUCUUACCAGAUGCAACUGUUCUGUCCUGCCGGUACAUCUUCUAACCAGCCAGCUGUAUAUUGAUAUUGUCGUCAUUCAGCCACGACUCCAUGAAGCAUAAAAUGUUAGUUUUUAAUGUCCUGUUGGUAGUUUUAUCUUCCGCGUAACUUGUAGAUUUUAUUCUCCCAAGGAUUGCACGUUUGCUAGCAGAAUGGAGGAAAGUGGGGGAUUAUUCGAUCACCUACGAAUUCUCAGAAGGCAGCCCGCCCUUAAGGCUUCUUCGGCUCAGAGCCCAAGGUCCUCUUCUCCUACAAGUGUCAGGUGGACGAGCCUGACGACCAGACGGAUGUCCACCUGCCCCCCACCUCAGGCCUGGGCCACAAGGAGCAGCUGGAACAGGGCUCCUUCUACCCCGGCACCCAGAUAGAUGGCCUGACUGCUGCAACCAUGGGCACCGGCAUAGCUGCUUACCUGGACGAUGUGGCCUCUGGUCCUUUCAACAGCGACCGCUGGAGAGCCAUCAAUGCCUGAGAGGAGAGGAAAUGAAAAGGCAGGAUAGGGGAUAUUGGACUUGUUGAGUGGAGAAGUUGGAGUUUGCUAUGGCACUCUCUCCCUCCGGAGACACUGUGAAUUGACUCUCAUUUCAGCGCCUGUCUGUUCUCCAUUUUGGAUCUUGCUGCCUUGUCCAUUCUGGCUCAAACAUGACAUUUUCCCCCAAUACCUGCAGGGGAUAUUUCUACAACUUCAGUCAAGUAUUAUCCCCCCUGUAAAUUAGUGUGUGGCUGACCAAGAUAAGAAGAUAAUGUAAAGGUAAUGUCCGAUACAUUUCCAUCGAAGGAUUACAACUGAGGUAAAGUCCAUUAACUGUGGCCUUGUAUUAGAUUUGUAAUCGUCUUGUAUUGAAUAACUGCCUCACUCCCUAUAGGCCAGCCCUGUUCUUAUCGCGCUAGGAGCCUUCUCUAAAUUACAUCACUCAUAAUGAAUCAAGUGUGCUUAAUUAUUUUUUUAAUGUUUGAUAUCAGUGCUUUUUUUCCCCCUCUUGUUGAUGAUCGAAAUCCUACAGUGUAACGUCAUGUAGAAAUUGAAGACCUGUUUGGCUUGAGUCUACAUUUUACAUUUACAUUUUAGUCAUUUAGCAGACGCUCUUAUCCAGAGCGACUUACAGUAAUGAAUGCAUACAUUUCAUGCAUUUUUUUUUUUGUACUGCCCCCCCGUGGGAAUCGAACCCACAACCCUGGUGUUGCACACACCAUGCUCUACCAACUGAGCCACAGGGAAUGCCGGGACUUGGUAUGCCAUGUCAGACAAUUAGCAGUGAUUAACUGGUAUCUAUGUAACUUGCUGCUGGGGCUGGGAGAGACCCAAAAUGGAUGCCAUGCCGCACCCAUGUCGCCUCUACCUAUUUUAUGUUAUUGUUUGGCGUCGGUUUUAGUUAUUUUAGUGACUGCUUGGUUUUAUGUCGAUCGGUAGUUCCAUCAGCUGAUCAUUCCUGGUAUUAAAGGUGCUUAUGACUUAAGUAAAACUUUCCAACCACCAAUCAAAUGAGAUGGAGAAGGCAGGAACAGCACUUGUGGCGAAACAAUGUAUUUUGUGGACAUUUUUAUUUCAAGAAAUAUUCAUGCCCAUAUACAUUGGAUUCAACUGAAAAGUGAGGUUAUUUUAACGACUUGAAAUUUGUUUUCACUAUAUGAAAUUAUUGAUGAAGUCAACUUAUGGGGUUUCCCUUGUGUUCUUUAUAGUCAACCCUGCAUUCAUCACAAAGAAAGAGCAACUUUUAAACAAAGUCCAUCUGAUUGCUCAUGGUGCUCAACGCAAACUAAAUACCAAUUUUCAUGAAGCCCUACUUCCUUGUCUUAAUUCCUACUUGUAUGUCUGCUGUGAACUUAGUUGCCCACAACACAUGGCUUGCUGGGAAAGAAAUUCUAUUGGUGGCUGAAAACAAUGUAAUUCCAGUUUGUGUGAAUUACGAUGUCACUUUUUUGAUUUUAGUUUUGUUUAUGCCCCUCUUGAUUUUGUCACUGAUAUUCAUUCCCCUAACGAUUAAUGUUAUGUUUGCUAUGAUAAAAUGUGAAGUGGGUGAAGUUAUUCAUGUGACAUUAUAGCAUCCAGUGGAGGCUAGUGAGGGGAGGAUGGUUCAUCAUAAUGGCUGGAACAGAGUAAAUGGAAAAGCGUCAAACACAUGGAAACCAUGUGUUUGAUGUAUUUUAUUCCAGUCAUUACCACGAGCCCGUUCUGCCCAAUUUAAGGUGUCACCAACCUACUAGGAUAGCAUCACUACGUAUUAUAAGAGACAUUUAUUUUUUUCAUAAGCGUAUGCCACCACAAAACAAGCAUUUUAUAUUGUCAUUGUAGUAUUUUAUACAAGUCUUCUGCUUUGCUCUUCCCAAUACCUGCCCUGCAUCAACAGACUGUUGCUUGCUCUCAAACACUGCCUUAUAUUUCUAGAGAAAUGUCGGAAGAGUUGCGUUUGAGGUACAAAAUUAUACUAUACUCAAAUCAUCAUGAAUAAGGUCUCUGGGUGUGGGUUUCAAAUGCAAGUGCAGUCAUGUUAAAUAUUGAAUAUAAUAUUUAAGAUGGUAAAUGAAAGAACUUUGAAAAAGAGUGAGGAUACUUGAUGCCAGCAAUUUGUGAACAAUUUAUAGCUCAAUGAUACACUAUUAAAUUAAAAUAAAAGAACGGUGUUUCAGCAUUCCAUGAGAGACUAUUAAAAUAUGCUUCCUUUUCAUUCCUAUAGCCUGCCCAUAUGUAUUUUCUUUGGACUGUGUCUCCCCUUGGUGUUUUGUUGUGGUAUUGCAUAUGGAAAGUGGUCCCAGUAAAUGUUUCAGUUGUGCAUGGCAUGCAGUGUUUCAGUUGUCUGGGGUUAGCCAAAGCUGAAUGUAUGGCACACAAUUUUAUAUAUAUUUUGGACUAACCAAUCAUCUUUCUUGUACAAACAUGCACAACAUUUGGAGAUUUAGAUUUCUGGGAGGCAGGGGAUGACUACAGAGGUACAAUUCCCAGCCCCUUUAUGGUCGCCUAUGAUGUGUGAUAAAAUGUAAUUGCAUUCUGAUUAUUUUAUCCACCUAUACUGUGGAGAAUACUGCAUGUCCUGGAAAAGUGACCUUUCCUUUUGGAGGCCCUAAGCAAGAUUUGGUUUGAAGGGGGGGGGUCACUUCACAAGCAGAAUAUUUUAGUGCCCCCCCCUCUUGAUGGUGGAGAGAGACAUUGUUUUUGAAGUACAUUUCCUGUAAUUCUACACAUUUUGCCAUGGGGUCCCACAUGACAAAAUUCUAUAGUAUAUUUUCGUAUAAAUACAGAGA
rnacentral:lncRNA from 1 species